CAGUUUCCUGAUGACUUAAGAUAUUGACCAUCUCUUCAUGCGCUUACAUGCCAUCUACGUGUAUUCUGGUGAGUUUCUUACUAUGCGCAGGCUAGACUCAAACUCCUGGACCCAAGAAAUCCUCCUGCCUCAGCUUUCCAAGUGUUGGAACUACAAACACACAGCACCAUUCCCAGGUUCAUGGGGCCUUCCUCUACACUGAAGCACAAGUCUAGACCUGGUUUCAAAAGAAAUGAAGCUGCCUUUGUUGCCUUCAUCAUAGGGAGAACAUCACUUAACACUAGAAGCAGUUACCAGGAUAAAAAUAUGCUGGCUUAAAACACAAAAACCGAAGCAGUGAGACUGCAAGGACAGCAGGACACCUGGAGUUACGGACAAGUGAACUGUGAUCUGACAGAUGCCCAGCCAAUUAGCUCUCAAAGUCCAGGGAUCACUUGUGAACCCUAAUCCAACCGCCUCAAGAGCUUUUGGGGACUUAUGGGAAGAUGGUGGAGCAGUAAGCAGCAGAGAAAACAGCUUUUCUUGAGAUUCACUGUCCAGACACUGGAAUAUAGCACCAUGAGGAAGUCAAGAAGGAACGAAGUGGGUCUCCUGGACCCAGGAAGAAUGUGCAGUGUGAACUGAAGCCCACAGAGUAAAAAGGAAAACUUCAACGAAGAAGGUGAUAGCUGGUGGUACCUUUGCCUGGAGCUGGACUCACUACGCUAGAGAAGCUGUUGGAACCUAGGGACACAGUCACCCUGACAGUGGUGGCUGGUGACCUCAGAAGCCUCUACAGAGAGAUGCAGCAGCAGGGGGAGUGGUGGAUGUGGAGGACUGCAUGGCUGGUGGUGAGUUCAGAGGACUCAGUCCUCCCGCAGGAAAGGGCAAUUGGGCCAGAGCCAUCUUGGAGCUGGGCAGGAUAAGCUGCUGCCAGCUUCCUCCAGCAGCUCCUAGCUGGGUGUAGACCCAUGGAAAUUGCUUAGACUACAGCAAGCCCAAUGAGUCUGGUCUCAAGCAGGCCAACUAAGGCUAUCUACUACUCUACCAUAAAGCAACGGCUGGCUUGCUGGGAUAGAGUGGCACGAUUCAGGACUUUAUCUCCACAGGCUGUCUACUAGUGAACCCGGACAGAAUCCUGGAAGUGGACGCUUUGGGGUUUUUCUCUCUCUCUCUCUUUUUUUCUUUUCAUGUUUGUUUUAUUUUAUUCAGUUUAUUUAUUCUCUUUCUCUUUCAUUGUUUUUUGGUUUCUUUUUUUAUGAGACUGGUUCCUAUCCUCUUUGUGGGUGAGGUUCUGUUUUGUUCUACCUUUUAUCUCUUCCACCUCUUUUUUCCUUUCACUCUUCUGCACCAGUUUCCCCAAAUUGGGGAACCCACCUUUGUCCUCCAACCUUACUUAUCAUCUCUUUCUCUUUUUCCACUUUUCUAUUUUCUCCUAAUCCAUUUUAAAGUUUAACCCCGAGGGCAAAAUUGACAUAUUACAGACUUACAUAUUGCAUAUAAUUAUCUGGUUUGUUUUACAUUUUGUUAUAUAUUCACAAAUCUAGUUCAUACGGUUAAAAGUUGCAAAUUAAGGGUUAGCUCAGUUUGUUGUUUUUUAGGAUGUGUUUGAUGCUACAGCCACAACUGACAUAAUGGUUCUAAACAGCUGUUGGCCCUAAUAACCCAUAACUGAGAUUAACUAAGGAUCACAGAAAAGACUGGCUCAGUGCCAAAGAAAAGGGACUGGGCCACACAACAACUUCUCAUCUCUAACAAGCUGAAGAGGUAAGAUCUUCCAACAGGCUCAAAACCCCAAAACCAGCAACACCUGGAUCAUAACCUUAGAGACAUAAUCACCACCUGAGUGUCCUAAAUACCACCAAUAAAGCAACUCACCAUAGGCAAGCAUUACCCUAGGAAUUAAACUAAAAAAGAAAAGAAAUGAGAAGACACUUAAACAAGAUGCAACCUAAAACAUCCAGUUCACCAAAGGCAAACCCAGGGGGCAAUGAGGUGGGACAAUCUGAAAGCUCCCCACCAGGUCUCUUUGAAGUGGAAACCACAAAAUAAUUGAAUGAGGCUCUGGAAAAAAUGAAAUCAGAAAUAAUCUCUCAGAUAACUACAGAGAUUACCAAAAUACAUACCAUGCUUAGCAAUGUUAGAGCAGACACAGACAAAGAAAUAGAUGAGCUUAAGCAAAUUACGGAAGCUCAGCAUGCAAAACAAAUGGAAUCCAUUAAGCAGAUUCAAGCAGAUAUCUAGGAGAAUAAAAACUCCACUGAAGGUAUUCAAAGCAGAUUAGGCUGAUGUGAGGUCAGGAUCUCAGAUAGUGAAGACAGGCUUGCAGUUAGUGACCAGAAAAAGAAAUGUAGCAAAGGACCAUGAGAAAUCAAUUCAGUAGCUGAUAGAUGAGAAAAAGAAGAAUAAGUCAAGAUUCAUUUGAGGGGCUGGGGAUUUAACUCAGUGGAUAAGCACCUGCCUUGCAAGCACCUGGUCAUGAGUUCAAUCCCUGGUACCCCGAUAAAAAAAAAAAUCAAAAAACAGAUUCAUUGGAGUCAAUGAACAAGUAGGAGAUACCACAAAUAAUAUUAAAAACAUUCACAAACAUUGUGACAGAAAAUUUUCCUGGCAGAGAAAAAGAAUUUUGACAUACAAAUAAGUGAGGCAUAUAGAACUCCAAUUAGCAAUGAUCAAAAGGAAUCUACAUCCACACAUCCCAUAGUCAAGAUUCAGAAAUUCAACAUAAGAAUAGAAUCUUAAAAGCUAUAAAAAAGAAACAAACCAGCUAUAAAGGAAAACCAAUCAGAAUCACAGCUGACCUUUCAGCAAACUCUCAAGUCAAGAACAGCUUAGAAUGAAGUAUUCCAAAUUUUAAAGGAAAAUAACUUUCAACCCAGAUUGAUAUAUCCCACAAAACUAUUUUCCAAAAUUUGAUGGAGAAAUAAGAUAUUUGCAUGACAAAGAAUAUCUGAGGAAAUUCAUGACCACCAAACAGCACUCCUAACUGUUGUGAAAGAUAUUAUAGACAGAGAUAAUAAAGACUACAGCUCCAUAAACCUCAACAGAAAAAAAUCCACUACGAAAGGCGAACAAUUAGGGGGAGGAAAAAAAAGAUAGGGGGAGCCAACAAUAGGAAAACAACAUGACAAGGAUAGGUCAAUAUAUAUCAGGAUUUUUUUGUCUUUUUGAAACAGGGCCUGACUAUGUGGUUCAGGCUGGCCUUGGGCUUACUUUGUAGCCCAGACUGGUCUCAAACUUGCAAUGAUCCUCCUGGCUCAGCCUCCCGAGUGCUGGGGUUACAGGAGUGUACCGUCACGCCUGGCCUAUAUAUAUCAAUUUUAACUGAUAUAUGUUAAUUAUCUCAAUUUACCAGUCAAAAGACAUAGACUGGCAGAAUGGAUUAAGAAGCAAGAUCCAGGGGCUGGGGUUUUAGCUCAACUGUGUAAGUGCAUACCCUGCAAGCACAAAGUCAUGAGUUCAAUCCCCAGUACCAAAAAAUAAGGAGCAAGAUUGACCAAUAUGUUACAUACAAGAAACACACUCAAUUCAAAAAGAAAUUCAUAGACUGAAAGUCAAAAGAUGGAAAACAAUACGCAGGUGCAGCUAUUCUAUUUGCAGACAAAGUGAAUUUCAAGCCAUUGAUUCAGGGAGAUAAAGAAGGUCACUACAUCCUCAUGAAGGGAACAAUCCAAGAGGAAGAAAUUAACAAUCAUAACACUAUAUGCAACAAAUACCAGUGCACCUAGCUAUAUAAAACAAUUACUAAUGGACAUGAAAUAUCAAAUAAGCACUAAUUAAUUAUAUUGGGAGAUCUCAAUACCCCACUGUCGCAAAAAGACAGAUCAACUAGACAAAAAAAAUCAAUAAAAUUUAGAACUAAAUCAGACUUUUGAGCAAAUGAACUUAGUAGAUGUCUAUAGAGUGUUCCAUCCCACAACAUCAGAAUACACAUUCUUCUCAGCUCCACAAGGGACAGUCUCCAAAAUAGAACACAUACCAGCUCAUAGAACAUGCUUAAGUAAGUGUAAAAGAACUGAAAUUAUCCCAUGCAUACUAUCAGACUACAGUGUAAUGAAAUUGGAAAUCCAUGCGAAAGGAAACCGCAAGAACUUCAUAAACACAUGGAAAUUAGCACCCUACUGAACAACCAAUGGGUCACAGAUGAAAUUAAAGAAGAAAUCAGACAGUUUUUACAUUUGAAUGAUAACAACAAUACAGCAUACUGGAACUUAUGGGACACAAUGAAAGCAGUCUUAAGAGGAAAACUUACAGGAGACUAAAAAUACAAUAUAAAGAAUCAAUGAAUCAAAGAGCUGGUUCCUUAAAACACUAAAAUGGACACACCCUUAGCUAACCUUAAAAAAAGGAGAAGACAAGACUCAAAUCCUUAUAAUUAGGAAUGAAAAGGGCAAAAUCACAACAGACCCUGUAGAAAUCUAGAAAAUCAUCUAUACCUACUUUGAAAACUUGUAUUCUAACAACAUAGAAAAUACAGAAGAAACGAACAAAUUUCUAGAUACAUAUGAAUUACCAAAGCUGAAUCAAGAAGAUAUAAAAAUCCUAAAUAACCCAGUAUCAAUAAACGAAAUUGAAGAUGUAAUUAAAAAUCUAUCAACAAAGAAAAGGCCAGGCCCUGAUGGAUUCACUGCUAAAUCAUACAAGAAUUUACUGAAGAUCUAACACCACUACUUCUCAAACUCUUUAAUGAAAUUGAAAAGGAAACAAUCCUCCCAAAUUCAUUCCUGGAAUCAAGCAUUACUCUGAUUCCAAAACCAGAGAAGGUCCCAACUAAGAAAGAGAAUUAUAGGCCAAUCUCCCUAAUGAAUAUUGAUGCAAAAACCCUCAAUAAGAUACUGGCAAACAGACUGCAGCAAAUCAUCAAAAAGAUUGUAUAUCAUGAUCAAGUGGGAUUCAUUCCAGGGAUGCAGGGAUGGUUCAACAUAUGUAAAUCCAUAAAUGUAAUACACAUAUUAACAGAGCCAAGGACAAAAAUCAUAUGAUCAUCUCAACAGAUGUACAGAAAGCUUUUGACAAAGUCCAGCACCCAUUUAUGAUAAAAAUCUUACAGAAAAUUGGAAUAGAUGGUCUUAACUCAGUCUCAUAAACUAUGACAAACAAAUAGACAACAUCAUCUUACAUAGACAAAAACUGAAAGCUUUCACUCUAAAAUCAGAACAAGAUAAGGAUGUCCACUGUCUUCACUGUUAUUCAACAUAGUCCUGGAAACUUUAGCUGGAGCAAUUAGGCAAGAGAAAGAAAGAAAAAGAAUAAAGAUAGAAAACAAAGAAGUUAAGCUAUUGUUAUUUGCAGAUGAUAUGAUACUCUAUUUAGAAGAUCCCAAAAACUCUACCAAAAGACUUCUAGAUUUAAUAAGCAAACUUAGUAACAAAGCUGAUUACAAAGUCGACAAUCAAAAAUCAACUGCCUUCUUGUACACAAAUAACAAACUCACUGAGAGGGAAAUCAGGGAAAAAAUACUUUUUACAAUAGCAUCUCCUCAAAAAUGAAAUACCUAGAAAUCAAUCUAACAAAAGAUGUAUAAGAACUCUACAUUGAAAACUGCAGUACUCUGAAAAAGGAGAUUGAUGAAGAUAUUAGAAAAUGGAGAGAUAUCCUGUGAUCUUGGGUAGGAAGAACCAAUAGAGUGAAAAUGGACAUACUUCCAAAACUGUUAUACAGAUUCAGUGCAAUCUCAGCCAAAAUUUCAAUAGCAUAUCUCACAGAAUUAGAGGAAACAAUCCUAAAAUUCAUCUGGAACUAGAAGAGACCUAGAAUAGCAAAGGCAAUCCUGGGCAACAAAGACAAGGCAGGAGGCAUCACAAUUCCUGACUUGAAAUUAUACUAUAAAGCUACUGUGAUAAAAACAGUGUGGGAUUGGCAAAAAAAACUCAAGAUCAAUGGGACAGAUUAGAAGAUGCAGAAACAACUUCAGACACACUAAGCUACCCUAUCUUUGACAAAAGUGCCAAGCAUGUUCACUAGAAGAAAGACAGCUCCUUUAAUAAAGGCUGCUGGAAAACUGGCUCUACACAUGCCAAAGAUUAAAACUGGAUCCAUAGCUUUCACCAUGUACCAAGCUAAAAUCAGAAUGGAUCAAAGAUCUUAAUAUUAAAACAGAAACAUUAAAUCUGCUGGAAGAUAGAGUAGGUAAAAUUCUUGAAGACAUUGGUGUAGGCAAAGACUAUGAACAAAAUCCAGAUUGCACAGGAAUUAUCACAAAGAAUCAACAAAUGAGAUCUCAACCUACUGAAAUGCUUUUGCACAGCAAGAGAAACCACCAACACAGUGAAGAGGCAACCCACAAUGUGGGAGAAAAUGUUUGCCAGCUGUUCCUCGGAUAAAGGAUUACUAUCGAGAACGUUUAAAGAACUCAAAAAAAAAAAAAAAAAAAAAAAAAAUCCAGUCCUCCUAGAUUUAAAGACCCAAUCCAAAAGUGGGUAUUUGGGCCAGGGAUUUAGCUUAGUGGCAUAAGUGUCUGCUGGGCAAGUGCGAGGUCAUGAGUUCGAUCCCUGGUACUCAAAAAAAAAAAAAAAUCUUCUUAAUCAAAAGAGGAUAUCUGAGAAAAAAAAAAAGAGGGUAUCUGAGAUGAAUACACACUUCUCAGAUGAAGAAAUACAAACAGCAAAUAACUACGUGAAAAAUGUUCAACAUCACUGGCCAUUUGAGAGAUACAAAUUAAAACAGCACUAAGAUUCCACCUCACCCCAGAAAAAAUGGCUAGUAUUAAGAAAUCAAGCAAUAAUAAAUUCUGGAAGAAGGGCUGGAGAUUUAGCUCAGCAGCAUAAGUGCUUGCCUGGCAAGCACAAGGUCAUGAGUUUGAGCCCUGGUACCAAAAAAAAAGGAAGAAAGAAAGAAACUCAUAUCAAACAUUGGGGGUGUGUGUGGGGAAAAAGGAACACUCAUCUACAGUUGGUAGGAAUGAAAACUGGUGCAAUCACUGUGGAAAUCAGUAUGGAAAUUUCUCAAAAAACUAGGAUUGGAGGUCCCAUUUAACCCAGCUAGUCUCCUUCUGGGUGUCUUCCCAAAAGAAUUAAAAACACCAUACUACAGUGAUAUAUGUGCACCAAUGUUUACAGAAGCACAGUUUAUAAUAGCCAGAUCUUAGAAACAACUUAAAUGCCCAUCAACUGAGGGAUGGAUAAAAAAACAUGUGGCAUUUUUAUACAACAGAGUACUACUCAGCCAUAAAGAAAGAUAAACUAGAGACUUUUAUAUGUAAAUGGAUGCACCUUGAGAACAUACUCAUUUGUGAAAUAAUAAGACACACAUGUGUAAACAUUGUAUUGUUGGGCCGGCAAUUUAGCUCAGCGGUAUAAGUGCCUGCUUGGCAAGGCGAGGUUGUGAGUUUGAUCUCCAUUACUAAAAAACCCAUUCUAUUGUUUCAUUAGUGUGACAAGAUGAAAGAAAAAACAUAUGCAUAUGUAUAUGUAUAUAAAAAAUAGUUAAGAUAGUUAUACUAUUGAUUUCUCUGAGUUCCCUGAAGAGAAAGAUUUAUGCUGGUAUUGUUCUGACAAUUGAGGGCAGAUGUCUUGAGUUCUGGGUAAAUGAUUUGGGGAAUGGCAAUGCAAAAUGUAUGGACCAUUGUUACCCCUGAUUGAUGCACUUUUUUUUUUUUUUAAUCUUUUUAUUGGUAUCAGGGAUUGAACUCAUGACCGCCUGCUUGCAAGGCAGGUGCUUAUGCUGCUGAGCUAAAUCCCCAGCCUCUUGAUUGAUGUACUUUUAAACUUUAUUUUGUUUUUUUCUUCUUUUUCUUUCCAUGAAUAAAAUGGAUUUGAAAAAAUAAAAAUAAAAAAGAGCUUUCUGCCAA